rnacentral:rRNA from 1 species
UACGUAGGGUGCAAGCGUUGUCCGGAAUUAUUGGGCGUAAAGAGCUCGUAGGCGGUUUGUCGCGUCUGCUGUGAAAACUCAGGGCUUAACCCUGAGCCUGCAGUGGGUACGGGCAGACUAGAGUGUGGUAGGGGAGAUCGGAAUUCCUGGUGUAGCGGUGAAAUGCGCAGAUAUCAGGAGGAACACCGAUGGCGAAGGCAGGUCUCUGGGCCACUACUGACGCUGAGAAGCGAAAGCGUGGGGAGCGAACAGG